rnacentral:misc_RNA from 1 species
UCUUUUUCAGUAUCUAAGUAUGAAAAUACAUGUAACUUAAAUCGCAUUAGUGAUAAAAUAUAUCGUUUCUUAAAAUAUAUGCUUACUUUUGUUUACGUCCGAACUGACGCCUACCUAUGAGUGGACGUACAAUUUGGCCUUAACUUUAGUCGGACGUAAAGAUGUGCUUUUUAAUGAAACGCAAAUAUUCGAACUAGUACGGUAACCGUAUUUACACCAGCGUAGCGCUAAGUCUAGGCGUACAACCCCCUUUAUGAAACGAGCUCCAGUCAAGACAUGAUUUUUCACUCGAUCCUAGCUGUUACAUGAAUCUCUCAUUGUUAAACAUCUUUAAAACUUUUUUGUAGUUAAAAAUCUGUGUGUGUCAGAACCUUGUGGCUGCAUUUUGCUGUCCAUUUCUUCACAUGGAGUGAUUGUGAAAAUGAAUGACCAAAUAGACAGUGGGGAUUUUGAAACAUAUGAAGAUUUUAUCCUAACUCACCCUGAGCCUGACGAAAAUGAGUUUUCCGAGAAUUAUGUUGAUGAACGUGUCUCAGUCAAAGAAAUUAUAGACGUGUUUACAGAUAAAGGAUUGAGAAACAUUCCGAAAAUAUUCUUAAUUCAGGCAUGUAGGAACCGAUUUCAUGCAGCUAAUCAAGAUUCAGAUGUAGAUAUUGGCUUUGAUGUGUGUGUUGUACGAGAUAACGGAGAGGGUGUACCAUUGCCACUAAAUGAUUUACGAGUCCCACCAGAUCCUCCAGGCACAAACAUAGCGUACUCCCCGCCAUAUUUAGAGAACAGUGUCAUUGUCUUCUCCACUCCUUUUGCACCUCCCAAAUCCAAAACCAACAUUUUUUUGGACCGUAGUAGGAAAGGAGUAAUGAACAUAUAUGUUUUACUAUGAAAACAUAUAUGUCUGAAAUAGGAAUCGAACUUGGCCAGGACCACUGCAAUUAUAGUUAUUCUGCAGGAGCCAUGUCUAACUUUGGAAGUCACGUGUGGUGUGUUCUUGAAGAAACACUAAAAGACAUGGAACCGGUGAAUGGAUCGAUAAAUCUUCUUGACUGGUUAAAGAAGACAAAUGGAGAACUGGCUAAAGAUGAAGAUUUUGAAAUUAAAGAUAAUUUGAAAUACAAACCACUUCUCAGUAUCAGCCAUACACUGACAAAACAGAUUUUGUUUAAGCUAAAGCCCUAGUGAUUUUUAAACAUGGUAAUUUUUCUUCUUUUAAAGUAACCAUGAAAAUGUACGUGAUACGUUUUCAUAAAUCAAAUAUAUACAUCAAUUAAAAUAUGUAGGUCAAUGAUAAAAGUUCUUCAAUCCUUGAUCAGCCCAAUAAAGGUAAUUUAUUUAAACAGUAUUUUAUUAUGCAAUAUAACACAUAAACGGAUGGGAUAGCAGGCAUUGCCUAUAUAAAUUCUCUCCGACAUACAAGGUCAAGGUCAUAUAUAUAUACAAUAUUUAGUGCCAUAAUGAAAAUAAUAUUUGAAAUAUAUGACCAGAAAAUGCAAUAGGUAUUAUAAUAGUUAUCAUUAUAAUAUUAUAAAUUGUAGUAACUAAAAGUGAUAAUAAUUAGAAAAAAAAUACAAACAAAAGGUUUUACACACUGGUUCAGGUUCUGUGGUAUAUGACAAUAGGAAAGACUAGAUGGAUUAUUUAAACUUUGAAGUGUUAUUGUCAUUCAAACGACGUCUCAAACUCGAGAUUUAUGUUUUUGGAAUCUCCAGUGAAUUGUGUUGUACUUCAUUUAUUACAGUGUAUCAAUAAAACAUUAUCAGAUUAC